GUGAACACACAGGUUGAUGAAAUUUAGAUUAUAUUACUCUAAUGUUUUUAACAGUAUGGAGAUUUUCUCCUCACGAUAUGGAUUGGUGAGAAAUGAUACCAAGCUGGAAUUCUCCAUUAAGACCUUCUGGAAUGUCAUUUGUGGAUACCAUUGUUUCAGGUGCAAAGAUUGGUGGCCAACUUGUAUCAGACUCUUGGAUGUGCUCUCAAAAGUGGAGCUUGGUGGAGAGAGGAG